ACACCUCAACUCUCAUGGUUUGCCAUGAUGAGCUUGGACUUUGGGGGUCUUGCUGGCCUGCGGUCAGCUCCUCUCAAAUGAAUCAGCUUUCCAGUGUUUGGCAGCAUCACAGGUGUGAUAACUAUCUACGCUUGUGGUUCUCCACCAGGUAACCUUCAGCGAUGGAGGUUCGCUGGGGCUCAUAAAUGUCUCUCCUCGGUGGGGACAGCUCUCUGAAC
rnacentral:misc_RNA from 1 species